rnacentral:misc_RNA from 1 species
AUCAACAACAAAGGAGCUUUCAAUCAGGGGAGCUCAACAAAGUCUUGGAAGAGGAGGUCAACAUUGAAGAAAUUGUAGACGGCGUGAUAGAAGCUGCUUCAACUACGAUAAGACUACUCACUUCGCUCGAAAUUGUAGAUUGAAGAAACAAUCUGUUGAAGGGAAUUUAGUAACCAAUGCACAAGAGAGCGAUGAGGAAUGGGAUUUUCUUGCAUCAUUUGCAAGUGCAACGUUCGAUGACACAACUAAGGAGACAGAAGAGGUGUCACUCAUCGCCUGCAAUGACAAGGCAGUUGACUGCAACAAAGAUUGGAUCAUAGACUCCAGAUGCUCCAAUCACAUGACGGGAGAUAGAAAGAAACUCUACAACAUGUCUUAAUAUAAAGGAGGAAAGGUAGUUAUAACUGCUAAUAAUUCGAAGUUGCCUAUCGCAAACGUUGGCAGUACUAUGAUCAUGCCCUGCUUCAAUUCUAAUCAAGUGCAGUUAGAGAAAGUUCUCCAUGUCCCAAGUAUGAAGAAGAAUUUUUUAUCAGUUUCACAAUUGACAUCUUCUGGAAAUUAUGUGGCGUUUGGACCAAACGAUGUCAAGGUAUUUAGAAACUCGUCACUUUGUGGCAAGCCCAUUAUGGAGGGACGAAAAUUAGAGUCUAUAUAUGUAAUGACUGCUGAGUCAGCAUACAUAGAUAAGAUGAGAAAGAAUGAGACAACUGACUUGUGGCACGCUUGACUCGGACAUGUUAGCUACCAAAAGUUGAAAAUUAUAAUGGCAAAGUCAAUGCUUAAAGGCCUUCCUCAAUUGGAAAUAUGCGGUGUUGUUGUCUGUGCUGGAUGUCAGUAUGGUAAAGCUCAUCAGUUACCAUACAAGGAGUCAGAGUACAAGGCAAAAGAAUCUUUGGAGCUCAUCCAUUCAAACGUGUUUGGCCAAUUCAAAGAUCCUUCCAUUAGUGGGAUGCGAUAUAUGGUGACUUUCAUCGAUGAUUAUACAAGGUACAUAUGGGCAUUCUUUAUGAAACAAAAGUCUGAAACUUUGAUCAAAUUUAAGGAAUUCGAGCAAAAGGUUGAAAAUGAAGUUGGAAAAAAGAUUAGGUACCUUCGUACUGAUAAUGGUGAAGAGUACAUAUCGAAUGAGUUCACGGAGUAUCUAAAAGAACAAAAUAUAUAGCGUCAGUUGACUUGUCUAGGGACUCCGCAACAUAAUGGAGUCAUAGAAAGGAAGAAUCGGCAUCUUGCACAGAUUUGUAGAAGCAUGCUACAUGCUAAGAAUGU